UGCGCAGGCGGUUAUGUAAGACAGAUGUGAAAUCCCCGGGCUCAACCUGGGAACUGCGUUUGUGACUGCAUAACUAGAGUACGGCAGAGGGAGGUGGAAUUCCGCGUGUAGCAGUGAAAUGCGUAGAGAUGCGGAGGAACACCGAUGGCGAAGGCAGCCUCCUGGGCCAGUACUGACGCUCAUGCACGAAAGCGUGGGGAGCAAACA
rnacentral:rRNA from 1 species